UGAGGGAUAUUGGUCAAUGGGCGCAAGCCUGAACCAGCGACGCCGCGUGGGUGACGAAGGUCUUCGGAUCGUAAAGCCCUUUUCCCACUGCAGAGGAAGGACGGUAGGUGGGGAAGAAGUCUCGGCUAACUACGUGCCAGCAGCCGCGGUAAAACGUAGGAGACAAGCGUUAUCCGGAGUUACCGGGCGUAAAGGGCGUGCAGGUGGCGUCUUAAGUCUGUUGUGAAAGCGCCUGGCUUAACCGGGCGAGGCCAAUGGAGACUGAGAGGCUGGAGGACGGCGGAGGGGUGUGGAAUUCCGGGUGUAGUGGUGAAAUGCGUAGAGAUCCGGAGGAACACCAGAGGCGAAGGCGGCACUCUAAGCCGUACCUGACACUG
rnacentral:rRNA from 1 species